rnacentral:rRNA from 1 species
UACGGAGGGUGCAAGCGUUAUCCGGAUUCACUGGGUUUAAAGGGUGCGUAGGUGGGCAGGUAAGUCAGUGGUGAAAUCUCCGGGCUUAACCCGGAACUGCCGUUGAUACUAUUUGUCUUGAAUAUUGUGGAGGUAAGCGGAAUAUGUCAUGUAGCGGUGAAAUGCUUAGAUAUGACAUAGAACACCAAUUGCGAAGGCAGCUUACUACACAACGAUUGACGCUGAGGCACGAAAGCGUGGGGAUCAAACCAGG